CAAUAGUGUAUAUUAAUGUUGUUGCAGUUAAAAAGCUCGUAGUUGGAUUUCAGGUGUUAUGUUUGAUGUCGACGUAUGUUGUACUCAUUCAUAUUGCCUUACUUUUGAGGAACAUGUCUGCAAUUAAUUUUGUGGGCUUGGAAAUCAAAACCUUUACCUUGAAAAAAUUAGAGUGUUUAAGGCAGGCGUUUGCAUUUGAAUACUCCAGCAUGGAAUAAUGAAAUAAGACUUUGGUUUUGUUUUGUUGGUUUAAGGACCAAAGAAAUGAUUAAUAGGGACAGUUGGGGGCAUUAGUAUUUCAUUGUCAGAGGUGAAAUUCUUGGAUUAAUGUAAAGACUAACUACUGCGAAAGCAUUUGUCAAAGAUGUUUUCAUUAA
rnacentral:rRNA from 1 species